rnacentral:rRNA from 1 species
AUGCAGGCGCAGAUCGAGCGGGUGCUGCCGCUCUCCAGGGCCCUCGCCGCUGCGCACCGGCAAGUGCAGGAUGCCAAGGAGGGAUUAUCCGUGGAGAGGGCGCGGCUUGGGGAUCUGCAGAGGCUGCUCAGGACGAGGCAGCAGUCCAUGGUAGCCCAGGUCGCCGCCCUGUACCCUAUCAGGGUCUUCCGUGACCUGCCGGUUGCACAAAACCACCAUUCCCGUACCAAUGGAGAGUGUCGAACACCUUCGGAAGAGAAUGGCGCACUUACGCAAGAGAAUGGAAAUGGAACACAUUUGCUCAGCGUUAUCAAGGACAAAGCACAUGUAAGCAGCGUUGGACCCUUGACAUUUUUUGGUUGGCAAAUUGGAAAGCCCAGGACAAAGCAGCGGACUUACAGCCACAAGGAGCUUCAGUGGUCAGCAGCUGUGCUUGGAUAUGCAGCACAUAUCGGUCGACGUGGGCGGGGCUGGUGGCGAUCCCCAGUCGGGCUACAUAGGGCCGACGACGAUCUGGACAGGGGCGGUUUGAGGCGCUCGCGCACAUCGGAGGUCCAGUGGCGGCCGCGUCCUGCAUCAAAGGUGCGGCUAGGAAUCAGAGGAGGAUAUGGGAGGGCAAGAGGAAGGGACCGGGGAGGGGCUCACCGACGCGGCGACGCUUGCCGGAGGCUGGCUGGCGGCUGGGCCACACGGUGA